UUUAAGCCCCAGUAAACGGCGGUGGUAACUAUAACCAUCCUAAGGUAGCGAAAUUCCUUGUCGGGUAAGUUCCGACCUGCACGAAUGGCGUAACGAUGGCCACACUGUCUCCUCCUGAGACUCAGCGAAGUUGAAAUGUUUGUGAUGAUGCAAUCUCCCCGCGGAAAGACGGAAAGACCCCAUGAACCUUUACUGUAGCUUUGUAUUGGACUUUGAACAGAUCUGUGUAGGAUAGGUGGGAGGCUUUGAAGCAGGGUCGCUAGAUCUUGUGGAGCCAACGUUGAAAUACCACCCUGGUGUGUUUGAGGUUCUAACCUAGGUCCAUUAUCUGGAUCGGGGACAGUGCAUGGUAGGCAGUUUGACUGGGCGGUCUCCUCCCAAAGCGUAACGGAGGAGUUCGAAGGUACGCUAGUUACGGUCGGACUUCGUGACGAUAGUGCAAUGGCAUAAGCGUGCUUAACUGCGAGACUGACAAGUCGAGCAGAUGCGAAAGCAGGACAUAGUGAUCCGGUGGUUCUGUAUGGAAGGGCCAUCGCUCAACGGAUAAAAGGUACGCCGGGGAUAACAGGCUGAUGACCCCCAAGAGUCCAUAUCGACGGGGUUGUUUGGCACCUCGAUGUCGACUCAUCGCAUCCUGGGGCUGGAGCAGGUCCCAAGGGUAUGGCUGUUCGCCAUUUAAAGAGGUACGUGAGCUGGGUUUAAAACGUCGUGAGACAGUUUGGUCCCUAUCUUCCGUGGGCGCUGCAGAUUUGAGGAAGCCUGCUCCUAGUACGAGAGGACCGGAGUGGACACACCUCUGGUGUAUCGGUUGUCACGCCAGUGGCAUUGCCGAGUAGCUAAGUGUGGAAGAGAUAACCGCUGAAAGCAUCUAAGCGGGAAACUCGUUUCAAGAUGAGAUCUGCCGGGGCCUUGAGCCCCCUGAAGAGUCGUUCAAGACCAGGACGUUGAUAGGCAG
rnacentral:rRNA from 1 species